UGUCUGUAUAACCUCACAGUAGAUGACAUCACAAUGUCAAGAACAUAUGUGAAGGGCAGAUAUGAUGUCACCCUUCUAGAAGCCACAGAAAUGGAAAAAUAAUUUAUUCAAAACUAGCUCUGAGGAGAUGGAAGGGCCCAUUGGUCUCAAGUCAUCACCUCUUCAGGUACAAAGAUGGAAGGAGUGGAGAUUUGAAGUUCUCCUAGGAGCACAAGAGAGCUCCCAGUAGAUAAAAGAAGCUAUUCUACUGGGCACUGUGAAUUUGGCCAC